rnacentral:misc_RNA from 1 species
CGGACAUGGAGUUAUGCAGGGUUCUAAAUUUUUAAACAUGUUACAACAAUGAUUAACUAAAUAUGCAUAAAACUUUAACAAAAAAUAAUAAAGACUAUGGAAUCGAGUGUAAGAAAAUGAUCGAUAUAACGAAAUGGAAGGGGGUUUUAAAGAUCAAACCGUCAAGUUCAAAUCCCAUGACUUCAGGAGUUCAGGUUCAUUCCAGUCGGCAGUCCGUUAAUUGUUCGAGGACGUUUCGAGACGAAGCACUGCUAAGCUCCGAAAUGGUCGGAUCAAACAGCAAUAUUGAAGAUAUCGUCGGAGAGGUGAGUGACAUGGUGAAAGAUACCCUGGAACAGUUGGGAAAAACAUGGCAACAGAUUUACGAUAUGACGGACGAGUGCAGGCAAAAGAAAUUCCAACAGUUUGUUGAAUACACGAAGGAUUUCUUCAAAGAACUCAUACUGUCACAAGAGAAACGAAAAUUGAAGCUGAUAGAGGAAAUUGAAAACAAAAAAGAGGAAUUUAAGCAAUUGGAAAAAGAUCUGAAAACAACAAUAAAUUUAAACAUAGAAGGGUCAAUGCCUCUAAACAAUUAUUACAUGACAUUAGAUAACACAUUAGAUGAAUAUAGAAAAAUCAGAGAUGAAAGAAUAGUGGCUUUCGAAAAACUUCAAAAAGAGGAAGAAAUGCUUUGUAAAAUUUUAGAAGAGGAUCGAGCUGAACCUUUGUCUGGUUUUCCCUCUCAGACCGACCUUGAAGAUAUGGAGCACAGAAUUUUCAACCUUUUACAAGAAAAAUGUGAAAGAGAACAGAUUGUAUCGGAGGCAAAGGUUAGAUUGCAGGAAUGCCUAAACAGUUUAGAAAAAGAGCCAAUGUUACAGUUUGAAAAGGAGAUUAUCGAAGGGAAUUACUUGAUAACUGCAACAAACAUGACCAAAUUGAAAGACUGGGAACACUGCUUGAAAGUAGAAAUAGAAAUGGCACAAGAAAAUAAGAAGCAUUUACUUGCAAAGCUCACUCGACUCUGGGAUAGAAUUAAUGUCAAUAAUGAUUACAGAGUACAAUUUCUUGGCAUCAACUCGGGCAUCGGUAAAUCUACAAUAAAUAAUAUUUUUUCAGAGCUGGAACGUUGUGAUGCUAUAGCAAUGGCUGACAUAAAAACUACAAUUCUAUCUGCAAAAAAAGAACUUGAAGGAUUGUGGGAAAAGAUGAAGUUCUCUGAGAGUCAGAAGUCUGAGUUUCAAGUGUACUCAACGGACAUUUACACGGAUGAGAUCCUCGAGCUCUACGAACUCGAGAUAGAACGGCUCAAGAUGUAUUACAACAAUAAUUUGCCUCUAUAUGAAAUGGUUGAAACUUGGGAAGAGCUAUGGGAAAAGUUGCUCCAGCUUGAAAUCACAGGCAAAGAUAAGUCUAGGCUCAAAAACAGAGGAGGACAACUUCUUAAAGAAGAAAAAGAACGAAAUGCAAUCAAUAAGACGCUUCCACGUGUUUAUGCUGAGCUUGUCACCCUACUCAAAGAGCACAACAGCCGUGAAUCAAAACCUUUCCGGUGGAAUGACUAUGAUCUUCUCCAAAAGAUCACCGACGACUGGAACCAAAAGCUGGAAAACGAAAACAAGAAGCCCAAUAAGAGCGCAAGAAGAUUGGCCCAUAAGAGGGAACUUUUGUCGGCGGACUCCAGUAGUGAAUUGGUGCCAUAUACCGUAAGCUCUAAAUCACCAUCAACUCCUUCACUAGCCUUGUCAAAAAGAUGCAUCAGUUUAAGUACUUUAGCUAGUGGCAAUAAGAAAGAGUAUUUGUCAUAGGUAACAGUAGUCUGUAAACAUUGAAGAAUCCAUGUCAUCACAAGUACGGUAUAAACAAAAUGAGUCUGAAGACGCGAAGACACCCCGUUUGAGGAGAGUCCUCACCGAAAGCAACAUGAGAACACCGUUGAAAUCUACGCCAUUGAA